rnacentral:misc_RNA from 1 species
UUGUAUCGUCUUGAGCGUAUUGUGGGUUUCCUGUGUUGCAUACCUAACCAAUGGUAUCGUUUGGAUUGAUCGAAGUCCCUUUUCAUCUUGUGUUGCCUUUGCGACGCAUGAUGAACCUCGAAGCGGUCUCUAUGUUCCACCAUGUUGAUGCUAGUGUUUCGAUGUUGUGGCCCAUUGAGCAUUGCUUGGUUUCGUGGAUACAGAACAUGAUUUGGGCAUAGGGUCACUCGUGACUCUUGUUUUGUCCUUUACCAGUGUUCUUUAUAACGACGGUUCAUGCGCGCCUAGGCUCGUACCUGUGCGAUGUUCUUUGUCGAAGAGGAAUGCUACCUGGUUGAUCCUGCCAGUAGUCAUAUGCUUGUCUCAAAGAUUAAGCCA